rnacentral:sRNA from 1 species
AAUUGCUUUUUAAAAAUUUAUUUCUAAUGGCAUACCUAUGUAAUUACUAACAAAAAUUAAUGUUACAUUUAAAAUGUACUUCCCAAAUAAUAUGUAGGAUAUCCCUCUAUACGUUUGAUGGCCCUAGCUUGAGUGUGACUAUUAUAUUAUGGACGCUUACAUCCUAAGAUCAUGUAUAUAAUUAU